rnacentral:rRNA from 1 species
GAUGAACGCUAGCGGCAGGCCUAAUACAUGCAAGUCGGACGGGAUUGGGGAGCUUGCUCCCCAUGAGAGUGGCGCACGGGUGCGUAACACGUAUGUAACCUACCCUUGUCAGGGGGAUAGCCUCUCGAAAGAGAGAUUAACACCGCAUAACAUUAUUGGAUGGCAUCAUUUAAUAAUCAAAUAUUUAUAGGACAAGGAUGGGCAUGCGGGACAUUAGCUAGUUGGUAGGGUAACGGCUUACCAAGGCUACGAUGUCUAGGGGAUCUGAGAGGAUGGCCCCCCACACUGGUACUGAGACACGGACCAGACUCCUACGGGAGGCAGCAGUAAGGAAUAUUGGUCAAUGGGCGCAAGCCUGAACCAGCCAUGCCGCGUGCAGGAAGACGGCCCUACGGGUUGUAAACUGCUUUUGCGCCGGAAUAAACCCUUUUACGAGUAAGAGGCUGAAUGUACGGCGAGAAUAAGGAUCGGCUAACUCCGUGCCAGCCGCCGCCGUAA